rnacentral:sRNA from 1 species
UUGGCUGCACCAAUCCCAUUCAACUAUUAGACUUAUUUUACUUUCUGUUUUUUUUUAAAAAAAUAAGGUGGUCAUAUACUCAUGUUUGUAACUUCCGUACAUCAAGAUUUAAAUAAAGAGAUAAAUUAAAUGAUUGACCGAAACCUAAGUAUUCAUCUUAAUAUUUAUUGAUUGUAUUUCACGUAGGAUUAGUUAAAUUCUUUUUAGUCUUGAUGACAAAAGUAAUAUAUCUAACACUUUUGAAAGAAGGGAGUAUCAAAUUUAGCUUUAAUUUAUUUAUCUGAUUGCUCCCACUUUCAUGCAGGGCCUCAUGACCAGAGAUGCCAGAAAUCAAAGAACCGGCUCCAUCAGAUUCUGAUCUCGACUUUCAGAAAUGAACACCGUCCAUCCAAUCUGCCUUUUGUUUGGGAGCUCCACUUCACUUGGCAGGAACAAAUAAAGAGAUGGCUCACGUUUAUUGGAUGGGGCCAUACGCACGCUAUUAUCCUAGAUGGAGGAUUUUACAUGCUUACAAGGGGCACUUUACAAAAGCAUGCAACAUAACCCUUUCAAGAUAAAAAGCAUCCAACAUGCUCAUCGAUUAUUUACUGAUCAACUUGCUCGAUUUGUGGUUAAUGUUCCUAAGUAGUACAAAAUGGAACUCUACCUCUACAGGCAUCUCCAUUAAUUGAUGCUUAGGCUAAGGCUCGCAAGGGAUUUCUAAUUUUAUUUUUCAACUAAACAAGCAGUAGUAAUGCUAUUUGGGGACUAUCUCAAAAAACUGUUGCAAGUUUUUUUUGAGGGAAAACUUUUAAAUCAAACUAUAGUACUCCCUCUAUCUAAGGGAUUUUGGUUACAAGUCACAUCCAACCAAAAUCACUUAUAUUUAGGGACGGAGAGAGUAUAAUUAUAAUAUAAUUCCCCUAUAAUUAUAAUAUAACUUGUAUAUAAGUAUUAAAAUAAUAUUUACAACUUAUAUCUAACUUAUAUAGAGAUUACAAUGCACUUACAAUAUAAUAUAACUGUAGUGUAAUUACAUUUUAGUUACACUAUAAUUAUAUCAUAGUUACAUUUGAAAUUUUUUUCCAAAAAAAAACUUGCAACAAUUUUUAGCAAUUCCAUAUCUAAAAACUAGUCAUAGGCCUAUGCAUUACAAUGGGACAAGAUCUCAUAAACGUGAUUUAUUUUUUCUCUCUUAUCGCAUAUUUUUCUCUCGAUUGGUUAGUUUUUUUUUAUACAGGUUUUUUGAGUGGAUUUUUUAUACGUAGGAUUGGGGAGAGGAGGAAAGGAGCAUGACCGUGCUUUUAAGAUACUGGUAGAGACGCCGAAACUUGCCUUGUCUGACAACUUCAUUUCUUCAACAGUGUUCACUUCGCUUUGCAAAAAAAAAAAAAAAAAAAAAAAAAAAACACCAAUACUUUACCAAAUAAAUACAAUAGAUACAACUCUACCGUGAAAAAAAAUACAUUGGUAGUAAAAAAAAGUAGUCUAUAAUUCGGCACUACCAACAAAUUGAUAACUAUAAAAUGGCUCACACAAGUCGCACAUAUACGUGCUUAAAUCUUAAUAAAAUCAUAUUUUAAGAUAAAAUUAAAUUUUAUUUCACAAUGGACCAAAUUAUGUAAUUUGCCCAAUUUGUAACUAGUGUUUCUUGCAGAAAUUUAUAAUAUUUUUUAAAAUUCAGAUACAUAACCCACGGAUGCGAUUGCAUUUGAAUUGUCCAAAAUAGUUUAUUUACCUAAAACAAUUCAGAAAUGUUUUUCAGUUGCCCAUUUGUGUAUACCAAAAGUAAAUAAAUUAUGCACAUUCCAAAGUAAAGAUUCCAAUCACAAAAACUGAUCUUUAACCAUAUUAUAAAACUAUUUUGUGCAGCAUAUUACAAAACUGAUCUUAAGUUCUUUACCAUAUAAUAAAACUAUUAUUUAUAUAGUUCAAAAAUAAUAUAGCUUGUACAUGCCAUGAAGAAUAAGUGAUACUUCUCCAUCCCAAAUAUAAGAUGCAACCACUUUUUUCCGAUAUUUCAUUAUAUAAGACACGUAUGCAUACAUACAAUUAACUAGCACCUCCCCCACGUCCCCCUUUAGUUUGUUUUCUAAAUCCUCCACUCAAGAUUUUUUUUAGUUCAUCUACUAAUUUUUAAAAUUCAAAAUCUUUAAAUCACAAUGUCAUAUCAUCUAAAACCGCUUAGUUUAUUUACUGGUACGCAUGAAAGAAAAAACUAUGAGGGUCAUAUCCCUUGAUCUUUCCUAUCAUCCAAAUCCAUUGAUUUGUAGUGGUACACAAACAUAAGAGUAUCUCUAGGAUUUUAUUCUUAUUUUGUAGAGUGGUACACGAAAGAAUGAGGAGCUAAGCAAAAUCCAGCUCAAGCCUUUAUGUUAGCAUAUCGUUUUUCUGGCCUCUGCUGGCAAGCAAGAAUAGCGUUCAAAGUAUACUGUUCGCAUGGACGUCCGGCAAUGAGGGCGCUGGCUGGCUCACUGGCCAAAGUGAAGUGAUGGAUAUUGAUCAUGUGAUAUAUAUUCGUAUUCUAAUUCUUUCAUCUUUCUGUACAUUAAAUUUUUAGAGGUACUGUUUCUUGAUAAAAAUAAAAAAAAAUAAGGACCAUUGAAAAAUCAUAAAAUUUUAAAAAUAUCAUUAACUGUACGUAUGUGUCAUUAAUAUUGACCGGUAGACGGUAGACCUAUUGAGCCCUACAUGCCGUUCUCACAUAUAUAUACAAUUUACGUUAGUUUUCUCAUCUAAAAAAUUACAUUAGUUUUCUAUUUUUUUCAAUAUAAGUACCAUAUAUAUUUCCACUAUAUUGGAGUAGCUCACUAAUCGAGCACACGUUUAAAUGCUAAUGGGUGAAAGUGAAACUACUCCUCCUCGCUAGCCCAUUUGCAAGAUCCGAAAUGUAACAACAUAAUUUGUUACAUGCUGACUUUGAAGUUUCUAAAUCUAAUUUUCAAAAAUAUUUUAUGUAGAUAUUUUACUUGUCUCUGGAGAAAGCCACAUUCCUAACAUGCUGUUCCAAUCGGCGCUUUCCUGACGGUGGCCGUGACGGUAAAGUAGUCCUGACGGUUUUGUUUUAAUCCUAACUGUUUUUGAACCGCUAGGGAAAAAACCCUUUUUUUAAGUAGUGUCCUUGCUCCUUAGGAGUAAUGCAGAGGGGCAAGAAAGUAACAAAAAAUACCCUCUAAAUUUAAUUAGAAUCAAAUCCUAAAAUUUAAUCAGCUUCAGCUCAACCAACCACUAUACAUUGUGCAUGUUUUCAUUGAUUAUUAUUCAUAUGAUAAGAUGUGCAUCCGUGUCUUUUUUUUCUCUAGUUUUGACAAAGGCAUGUCUCAGUAGUCGGUACUCGAUUCCCAAGUCCCAACGAGGGUUUACCAAACCGCGCAGUUACCACGCGGUUACCAUGGUUACCACGCACGGUUAUCUUUUUAGUUUUUGAAACUACGGUAUGUCUCACGGUAACCGCCUUUACCGCGGGGUGCGGUAACCGCGCAAAAAAGGAAAAAUGGUAAGGGGAACCCCAACUAUUGGUCUGGUGGAUCG